rnacentral:rRNA from 1 species
AAUAAGCAUCGGCCAACUUCGUGCCAGCAGCCGCGGUAAGACGAAGGAUGCAAGCGUUAUCCGGAUUCAUUGGGUUUAAAGGGAGCGUAGGUGGACUGAUAAGUCAGUGGUGAAAUCUCUUCGCUUAACGAAGAAAUUGCCAUUGAUACUGUUGGUCUUGAGUACAGUUGCUGUGGGCGGAAUAUGACAUGUAGUGGUGAAAUACAUAGAGAUGUCAUAGAACACCGAUUGCGAAGGCAGCUCACAAAGCUGUAACUGACACUGAGGCUCGAAAGUGCGGGGAUCAAACAGGAUUAGAUACCCUGGUAGUCCGCACCGUAAACGAUGAUUACUCGCUGCUAGAGGGCAACUUUUAGUGGCUUAGCGAAAGCGAUAAGUAAUCCACCUGGGGAGUACGCCGGCAACGGUGAAACUCAAAGGAAUUGACGGGGGCCCGCACAAGCGGAGGAGCAUGUGGUUUAAUUCGAUGAUACGCGAGGAACCUUACCAGGGCUUGAAAGUAGGGAAUAACUCUGAAGGAGUAGUCAGCAUGACCCGAACUAGGUGCUGCAUGGCUGUCGUCAGCUCGUGCCGUGAGGUGUUGGGUAAGUCCCGCAACGAGCGCACCCUACCAUUAGUUGCCAGCGGUUCGGCCGGGACUUAUGGAACUGCC